AUUGAACGCUGGCGGCAGGCCUAACACAUGCAAGUCGAACGGUAACAGGGAUCAGCUUGCUGAUUCGCUGACGAGUGGCGGACGGGUGAGUAAUGUCUGGGAAACUGCCUGAUGGAGGGGGAUAACUACUGGAAACGGUAGCUAAUACCGCAUAACGUUGCAAGACCAAAGAGGGGGACCUUCGGGCCUCUUGCCAUCGGAUGUGCCCAGAUGGGAUUAGCUAGUAGGUGGGGUAACGGCUCACCUAGGCGACGAUCCCUAGCUGGUCUGAGAGGAUGACCAGCCACACUGGAACUGAGACACGGUCCAGACUCCUACGGGAGGCAGCAGUGGGGAAUAUUGCACAAUGGGCGCAAGCCUGAUGCAGCCAUGCCGCGUGUAUGAAGAAGGCCUUCGGGUUGUAAAGUACUUUCAGCGGGGAGGAAGGGAGUAAAGUUAAUACCUUUGCUCAUUGACGUUACCCGCAGAAGAAGCACCGGCUAACUCCGUG
rnacentral:rRNA from 1 species